GAUGAACGCUGGCGGCGUGCUUAACACAUGCAAGUCGAACGGUGAAGCUCCAGCUUGCUGGAGUGGAUCAGUGGCGAACGGGUGAGUAACACGUGAGCAACCUGCCCCUGACUCUGGGAUAACAGCCGGAAACGGCUGCUAAUACCGGAUAUGCACCAUGAACGCAUGUUCUGUGGUGGGAAAGAUUUUUCGGUUGGGGAUGGGCUCGCGGCCUAUCAGCUUGUUGGUGAGGUAAUGGCUCACCAAGGCGUCGACGGGUAGCCGGCCUGAGAGGGUGACCGGCCACACUGGGACUGAGACACGGCCCAGCCUCCUACGGGAGGCAGCAGUGGGGAAUAUUGCACAAUGGGCGAAAGCCUGAUGCAGCAACGCCGCGUGAGGGAUGACGGCCUUCGGGUUGUAAACCUCUUUUAGCAGGGAAGAAGCGAGAGUGACGGUACCUGCAGAAAAAGCGCCGGCUAACUACGUG
rnacentral:rRNA from 1 species